UUAUUCUCUAAAUAAACCACAAUUUCGCAGGCAGUGAUAUUAACUUGUAUUCCAGUCUACAUACACCUAAUACAUAUGAAUUCUGGGGUUUCACUAUGGCACUUUGCAUGUUCUGACGUGGGGUCAACCUAAAAUGUAUUGAUGCUUAUGCUGUACUGGAGUGAGAAAAUGAUAUGAAAUUGCAUGUAUUUGCCACCAAACACAAGGCCAACACAUAUAGUGAAAAAUUAAUUCACUCUGAUGACUGUGUCUCGAUUUAGAGUUGAACCCCCGUCAAAUUUAUGACGUCAUAUGAAACACAAUAAUAUACAGUAUAAUAUUACAGCUAAUUGUAGCAGAAAGUAUUUAAUGAUUUACAGUAAAUUUAUUGAGUGGUACAAUAUGCCAAAUUGGCAAUCCCUUCAUUAAUCUUGUCCACACAGUAAUUCAAAGAAGCC